rnacentral:sRNA from 1 species
CCAGACUCUGAAUAUGGCUUGUAUGCCUCCUUUUGAGUGGACACAAAAAGUAUUUCAGGCUGCACCCACCUGCGAGAGCAGGUUCAAACCAGCGGUUUACACGGCAUCUGUGGGGUAGUU